rnacentral:rRNA from 1 species
CCUGCUUGCAGGGAGCGGCAGACGGGUGAGUAAUGCAUGGGAAUCUACCCAGCUCUACGGAAUAACUCAGGGAAACUUGAACUAAUACCGUAUGCGCCCUUCGGGGGAAAGAUUUAUCGGAGUUGGAUGAGCCCAUGUCUGAUUAGCUAGUUGGUGGGGUAAAGGCCUACCAAGGCGACGAUCAGUAGCUGGUCUGAGAGGAUGAUCAGCCACACUGGGACUGAGACACGGCCCAGACUCCUACGGGAGGCAGCAGUGGGGAAUAUUGGACAAUGGGGGCAACCCUGAUCCAGCCAUGCCGCGUGAGUGAUGAAGGCCCUAGGGUUGUAAAGCUCUUUCACCGGUGAAGAUAAUGACGGUAACCGGAGAAGAAGCCCCGGCUAACUUCGUGCCAGCAGCCGCGGUAAUACGAAGGGGGCUAGCGUUGUUCGGAAUUACUGGGCGUAAAGCGCGCGUAGGCGGAUCGGUCAGUUAGGGGUGAAAUCCCGGGGCUCAACCCCGGAACUGCCUCUAAUACUGCCGAUCUAGAGUUCGAGAGAGGUGAGUGGAAUUCCGAGUGUAGAGGUGAAAUUCGUAGAUAUUCGGAGGAACACCAGUGGCGAAGGCGGCUCACUGGCUCGAUAC